CCCUUCUUAGCUCAGUUGGAAGAGCGUCAGACUGUAAUUGGAUAACAUCUGAAUGUCGCCCGUUCGAACCGGGCAGAAGGGA
rfam:Schizophyllum commune H4-8 unplaced genomic scaffold SCHCOscaffold_8, whole genome shotgun sequence.